UACGUAGGGUGCGAGCGUUGUCCGGAUUUAUUGGGUUUAAAGGGUGCGUAGGCGGUCUUUUAAGUUAGUGUUCAAAUACGAUGGCUUAACCAUCGGCCGGGCAUUGAUACUGGGAGACUUGAGUUAGGUUAAGGCAGCUGGAAUUUGUGGUGUAGCGGUGAAAUGCUCAGAUACCACAAGGAACGCCGAUCGUGAAGACAGGCUGCAGGACCUUGACUGACGCUGAGGCACGAAAGUGCGGGGAGCAAACAGG
rnacentral:rRNA from 1 species